UAUGCUAAUACGGGAUAAUAUAUUUGAGAGGCAUCUCUUGAAUAUCAAAGGUGAGCCAGUACAGGAUGGACCCGCGUCUGAUUAGCUAGUUGGUAAGGUAACGGCUUACCAAGGCGACGAUCAGUAGCCGACCUGAGAGGGUGAUCGGCCACAUUGGAACUGAGACACGGUCCAAACUCCUACGGGAGGUAGCAGUGGGGAAUAUUGCACAAUGGGCGAAAGCCUGAUGCAGCAACGCCGCGUGAGUGAUGAAGGCCUUCGGGUCGUAAAACUCUGUCCUCAAGGAAGAUAAUGACGGUACUUGAGGAGGAAGCCCCGGCUAACUACGUGCCAGCAGCCGCGGUAAUACGUAGGGGGCUAGCGUUAUCCGGAUUUACUGGGCGUAAAGGGUGCGUAGGCGGUCUUUCAAGUCAGGAGUGAAAGGCUACGGCUCAACCGUAGUAAGCUCUUGAAACUGGGAGACUUGAGUGCAGGAGAGGAGAGUGGAAUUCCUAGUGUAGCGGUGAAAUGCGUAGAUAUUAGGAGGAACACCAGUUGCGAAGGCGGCUCUCUGGACUGUAACUGACGCUGAGGCACGAAAGCGUGGGGAGCAAACAGGAUUAGAUACCCUGGUAGUCCACGCUGUAAACGA
rnacentral:rRNA from 1 species